AACGAAUUAGUUAUUAUUUUUAUUAUUUUAAUACAAGUUCCUGUUAAAUAUCUGUGGUGAUAUUCUCAUUAUAAAACCCAAGUUCAACCUCAGCUGUAAUAACUAUUGGUUCCCAUAGGGGGCAGCAAAUACCUAUUAACAAACAGCCUGCCAACUGCCUUCCGUUUGUGGAAAAACAACGUAGAAAUGCAUCGCAUACUCGUCCUUUAAUGGACAAACACAUUGAUGAGUAAACGUGAAUUAUAGAUGUAAAAGCAUGUGAUAUUGAAAAGAAUACCUUUGCUGAUUUAACUGUGUAGCCUUAUGUAGUUUUUGUUUGUGUUUGUGUGCUAAGCCCUUCUUUUUAUGUUUGUGUAGGCCAACUAUUUUACAAGGUUAUUCAAUCAAGGUAUAAUAGCUAUCCUGAAGGCGAUGUUAUGAGGAAAAUGGUGUGUGUGUGUGUGUGUGUUUGGCAUCAACAAGUUCCCAGAGAUAUGGAGCAUAUGUCAGAAGACAGAGAGAAUAUUUAGGGCUUAAACGUGUAACUAAUCAGAGAGAAUGGAUCUCAGAUGUUCUCUAUGCAUUCACCAGAUUAGAAAUAAAAUGAUUUUCGCAUGGAAUCCACCAUAUGCUGUGGAAGUUCAAAUCAGAUCUUCCUAUGUUAGAAUGCCAGACCAUUCUCAGCAACACACACUCUUCAGCUUUUACACAUUACAGUCGCAUUGACUAUUUCCACCUCUUUAUCCCUUUGACACAAAGCAAAUAUCUGCACAAUUAUAUUCCAGAUCCAAAUAUUUGCUUUGUCUGAAGGAAAGACGGACGUCCAUAAAACCCUAUCUCUCCGUCUGCAUCCUCCGGCAGUAUAAUAUUGCAUUGCUCCUUCCCUCCUUCCACUUUAUGAUCCCUUUUUUUUUUUCCACACCUAGCAAAUAUUUGUACAAUUAUAUUACAGGUACAAAACAGGUGAGCCGUCGUGAGGCCGGGUGGCCGCGAGUUGAGCGCCAAGACUCAGCGGCUCAAGGGCGUGCGGUAAGUGUCUCUGGCGUCAAACCCGCACGCUCGCCAAAGCACACACGUCCAUGAAAGGAGCAGAGCGGGAGAAAAGGGGAGAUGAAACAUCAAGAUUCUUCUCCUCUUCCUCAUCGACGAGCCUCCAUGUUUGGUAAGGUGCUGAGUCAGUCUGGGGGG
ensembl:lncRNA